UAAUUUUUACAAUUUUUAUUUAAAUAUAAAAUUAUUUUAUAUUUUUAUAGUAAUUUAUUACAGAAACAAUUUUUUAUUAAAAACUGUUAAGGUUAAUUUUUACUAAAAAUAAAAUAUUUUUAGUACCUUUUGUAUCAUGGUUGAUUUAAUUAAAUUAUUUAUUUAAUUUUCCCGAAAAUUAGGUAUUUAUUUUUAUAAUAUAAUUUGUGUUUCAUAAUAAUUAUUAAUUUAAAAAUGGUAAUUAAAAGUUAUUCGUCCUUUUUAUAUCUGGUUAUUUUAAAAAAGAAUUUAAUUUUUGAUUUUUUUUAAUUAUAUUUUUAUUUUAUUUUAUUAAUCAAAUAUUAUUUAGGAUAAGCUAAAUAUUUUAAUAAAAUUUAUUUUAUUUUUUUUUUAUUAGCUUUAAUAUUAUGCAUUUGGUUUCUUAUAUAUUAAAAAUGUUAAUUUUAAUCUUUUUUUAUUUAUUUUUAUAUAAAAUUUAUUUAAUAAAUUUAAAUUUAAAUUAAAUUAUGAUUUAAUUAGUAUAAUUUUAAUUUUAAUUUUAUGAAUUCGACAAAUAUAAUUUCCAACUGUUUAACAAAAACAUUUCUUUUAGGUUAAAUUAAAAGUAUAUUCUGCCCUAUGAAAAAUUAAAUGGCUGCAGUAUCUUGACUGUACAAAGGUAGCAUAAUAAUUAGUCUUUUAAUUGAGGACUCGUAUGAAUGAAUUUAUGAGAUAUUGAUUUUAUUAAUUUUAAUAUUAAAAUUUAAUUUUUAAGUAAAAAAGCUUAAUUUUUUUUUUGGGACGAUAAGACCCUAUAGAACUUUAAUUUAAUUUUAAUUUUAAAGAUUUUGGUUUUAUAUCAUUUAUUUUAAAAAAAAAUUUUAAUUGGGGUGAUUGAUAAAUUUGACUUUAUCUUUUUAUUUCAUUAUAAAUGUUUAUUUGAUCCAAUUUUUGAUUGUAAGAUAAAGUUACCUUAGGGAUAACAGCGUAAUUUUAAUGGGGAGUUCAUAUUUAUAUUAAAGUUUGCGACCUCGAUGUUGAAUUAAAAUUAUGGUUUGGGGCAGUAUCUAAACUUUUAAGUCUGUUCGACUUUUAAUUUUUUACAUGAUUUGAGUUCAAACCGGUGUGAGCCAGGUUGGUUUCUAUCUAAAAAUAUGUUUAAUUUUCUUAGUACGAAAGGACCAGAAAGUUCAAUUUUAAUUGU
rnacentral:rRNA from 1 species